rnacentral:tRNA from 1 species
GCUGGUUUAGCUCAAUGGUAGAGCAAUGCACUUGUAAUGCAUAGGUUAUAGGUUCGAUUCCUAUCACCAGCUCCA